rnacentral:siRNA from 1 species
GGCCCACUUGACUCCUCUGUCCA